UUGAGGCAACCUUCAAUGCUUUCAAAAAUUUUAAGCUUCCCUCCUACUAUCUAAAGAAAUCUAAUUCCCUCCUUCCAAAAAGAAUUAAUCUCCUUCCUCCCACCUUCUUUUAACCUAAAACGGUUGUCCUCCCUCCUGUGACCCUUACACUCACCUAGAAAACAACUCACCCUCCCUUUAAAUCACCGUCACGAUUCUACCCUUGACCAUCGCAUAUCUCCAAUAGGCCUGCGGGGUGUUGAUUCUGCCAUCCGAAACCAUCUUGUAUUCUUAUAGAAGUUGUUUGUAGCCGUUCACACCAACAACCGGCUCCCCCGGAUUACCUAGACUACAAUCACUGAUGUCACAUCCCAAUUGACCUCUCUUGUAGAAUGAAACAAUGCGUUUAGGGCAUAUGUCGCCAUGUCGGGGCAUUCACUGCUUCGGUAAAGAUUAGGAACACCUACACCUAAAAAAGUGGAAUUCUUAUAUCUCAAGGUUUGAGUGAUUCACGUCAGUCGUAUACAACUACUAAAAGGCAUGGGCACCAGGUGCAACAAAGUUUCAGAAGACGAAGAAAACUGGUAGAAAACAAGGAAAGCAUGACUCAGGUGUUGAUGUGAACCAUGAUAGAGUCCCAUCACCGCGGGUGGACACGAGUCUUGGUGGACCGCUUAUCGACUAUCCACCUAUCGAGAACCUGACCAAAUGCGAGUUGCUGUCUCCCUAGCACGCUCGCAAGGAAGUGACGGUGGCUAAAGGUAUGUCAUGGCGAACCCCUCCAAAUAUGAUUAUGAAUGAGAGUUGUAUCAAAAUUCAGGUUUAUUCUGUUGUUGGUGAACAUUCGGGAUUGUGUGUCCCAGAUGAAACACGCACUGAAGUUUUCAUUCGGGUCAAUUCACCUGACGGGAUGUAUCCCCGGUCGGUUUAUGAGAACAUCUUGUAUUUCGAAUUGUUAACCAUGCUCUUGGAGGGUUGGCUUGAUGUCACAAUAUUACAUUGGUUUGCCAUGAAACAUUGGUCGCUUAUAAUUGUUUGCCCGGACUUCAAAUUUAGCUAUAUUGUUGAUUCUAUAAAUGAUGGGAAGACCCUUAAAAAUUACAAGCUCGUCAAGAUCAUUGAAGAAGUUUUUGAGAUUAAUUUUAAGUGGCACAUGGUACAGGUAUGUGAAUACUUUAUUGUUUAAAAUAGUCUAAUCAAAGUAAUUCAUUGUGAAUAUGAUACAGUGCAAACAACAGAAAGGCAGUUAGGAAUGUGGGUAUAUGGUAAUCAAACAUAUGAAAGAGUUUAUCGACUCUAUACAACAUGAUUUGGUUAACCGACUUUGGAAUGAAGAAGGGGAUUUUGAAGAAUCUCAAAUUGAGAAUUUAGUGGUAGAUUUAAUGUUUGGAUUUAUUUAAAAAGAUGUUUUGAUCUUGUAAGCAUUAGUUUGUGUUUCAUACUUUUGUAAUUCCGUAUACUUGAACGGGUUGUUUAAUACUAGUUAACUUUUGUCGUGAGCA